GAGACUGCCCUCUCGAUCCCCUCGACCUACGAUCUGUGACUGCAGACGCACCAGAUCGCCGCCGCGGACCUCGCAGAGAAGACGCGGACGAGAUCCCAAGCCGCUGCUCCUCCUCUCCCGGGAUGCAGCCGCCGCCGCCGAACCAGGGAGACGCCGGCGACCGUCGCCGCCGUCGUGGAUCACCAGGACGCCGUCGCCGCCUGCACCGCGACCACCGUGCCUCGGAUACGUCGCUGCGAGGCGGAUCCCUGGGAGCGGGAGGAGGUAGGGGUCAGCCGCGUCGACAGCGGCGAGGUGGAGCCCUGGGGCUGGGAGUGGGUAUGGGAGGAGGUGGGGGGCAGCUGCGAGCGCAACAGGGUGAGGGGCGUCGAUGAGAUGCUCCUGGUGCCUCCCUCCGAGUGGGAGGGGGAGAGGGGCGUCAGCGGCGAGCCGGACGGGGCGAGGGGCGUCAGCGACGAGCCGGACGGGGCGAGGGGCGUCGAUGAGAUGCCCCCGGCGCUUCCCUCCGGGCGGGAGGAGGAGAGGGGCGUCGGCGACGAGGCGAGUGUCGGCGGCGAGAUGGUCUCUGACGGGCGUGAUGAGGCGGGGCAGCUUAGGCGUGAAGCGUGCGUUCGUGGAGGUAUUCGCCAGGGCGCUCUUCUAUCCGACGGUGAUGCUCAACUACGGCCGUAGCUUGAUCGAGCCCGAGUUCCACUGGUGGGAUCGCAUCAACAAGGAUAUUUGGAUAGGGGCGGUUCCUCACCAACCAAUGUCAUAAUUUAUCACGUCCGCAAAUGAUUUUUGGACUGUAGUUUGGAUUGUUCUGCCGAGCGUAUAACAACGCAUGCUAUCUAUCAAAGCUUCGACUCAUUUGUUUUGCUGCUCCGGAAUAUUGAGACGAGAAGAAUGGCCUUGAUGCUGGAGGUUAAUGGAUCACCCUGGGAACGAUUUUGAGGGCAUUAUGCCAGCUACUUUGAUGGCAAUGGAUUAUGGAAUGGCAAACUAACAGGGCACAUCGCACAACUGGUAUAAAUGUGUUGAUAUGUUGCAUUUCAAGGCAGUUUCACUCAUAAAUACUACAAAGUUUGAACCAUUUAGCAUUUGGGACCACGAGGAUUCCGAUUGGGAGAACGACGUCGUCCAUAGAUUAAUGUAUGGGAACACCGGGCCAACCCACUUUACAGGACAGGAGGGUUGACCGCUGGGCGAUGCGCUGCACGAGUAGGCCAGGAGGAACAAGAGUAGAAGAGGACUGUAGCCUGUAGGUGAGAGAAGAUGAUGCCAUUGCCAUCUUGACUGAAGGUUGGGCAUCUAAAGAUGCUUGGCAACCAGAACUCUGAAGCUAAACACCACUUGAAGGUACCUGGAAAUACACUACUUGCUGAAGCUGCACAUCCUACGCCUCGGGAGGAGGCCAAAUGCAUAUUCCGAUCAUGUGAUCUAAAUACUAAAGCUUCCUUGCUGGAUCUAAGGUUUAAUUUCUCUGCCCCAAUGCUGGUUCUUAGGGUAAUACAAGUUCUACUCCAUAUUUUUGAUGCCCUCCACAUAAAUCCAUCACUCUCUUGUUGCCUUGAAGCAUACUUCCGUAGCAGCCGGAGCUGAACAUUUAGAGAGAUCAUACUGUAGCAAGCUUGCUUUCCAGGGACCUGGUGUUUCUGCAAACCCAACGAUAGGCGUGUUUGAAAAAAAAGGUCAGUUCGUGUUGCAAUUUCAUGAAAACUUGCUUAUGCGGUGUUAUUGCACUGGUACAAAAAAUGUCAUGGUCUUUUUCUUCCUGUUUAAAUCGCCACCUACCUAUGAAUUACGACUCUGGGCAUGGCAGAAUGUCACCAUAAUUUUUGUUCAGCAACUAGAUUUCAUCCCAAGACGUGCCAUCUCUCUAAUUUGACUCUGAGCAUGUAAUACAGUUAGUUAAUCAUGUGGGUUGGUCUUGUGUCUUCCAGCUGCAAUUGAAUUAGUCUAAGCAAUUGAGGUCCUACUAAUUAAUUAAGCUGGCUAUUUGCUUGCUUCUUGUACCUACGGCAUGCUCUCUGAUUUUUUUUAUCGCAGUAUGCAAGCUUCUAAGCGCCGGAUUGAUGUCGUACUAACAAAUUAAGCUAAAUGGUGCGCCCGCUGUAGCAAGUGAGUGCCCAUCGAAAUCACCCUGAGCAUAUUUGCGCUGAUUUUCAUGAUUGCUCUUCUGCCAGCAACAAUGUUCCUCGCACUUCGACCACACAACUGUAUGUUCAUGUUCCAGAGUCCUUAUUCAUAGUUAAUUUCAAUCACAAAGUGACAAAUGCCAGUCUAUUAGUUAACAUGUAUAUCUCCGUUUCUUCUAAGUUUCAAUCAACCUACUCUGAAGUUGUUCCUAAGACAGUGCCUCAAGCAAAGGGAAUGAGCCUCAGUUAGUGUAUCUAGCGAGUUCGCGAUCCUUUGUUGGGAUAAACAUUUGUGCAAGAGCAAGUCUCGUCACUGUUGGUUGUUAGUACUGUUGCUUGAUAAUUCUAAUUUUUACUUCAGUUCAUAAGGCAAUGUAGUUAUGCUUGACGCACGAUAUGAAGACUGCCAUUUUGCCUUUUGACCUUGGUUUCUUCCUCCAGUAAGUAAAUGCACAUAGUUCUUUUCUAAAUUAGAGCAUAUGACUUGUUGAUCGAUCUCUGAGCUUAGUAAUAAUAUUAAGCCUUAAUCCGUUUAUUGUGCAGACAAGAUGAGAAAGAAAUGCUACCCAAGAAUAUGUACUUUAUAAACAUUUCAACUGUAAUCUGGAAUAAAAUUAAAUAAAUAAGGAAACAGUAUAUUCAUAUAUCUUUUUUGUACUUUGAUGGUUUCACACCACAAGUUCCUAGAUGGUAAUUGUGCUGCAUAUGUCUGCUCUCUUACUUUGUUUUUCUGAACAGGUAGGUUCCGGAAGAUGUCAUGAAGAAUUUCUUUGAGAGAAUUUGCGUGAGCUGAUCUGUAGCAGUGCGGAAGGUGAGCUUGGCUGCCGGCAGCAGCUCCUUUGGCUGAUCUGCAGCGAUGCAGAAGUUGGGUUGGAAAAAAGCACGACCGGCUGCUCUGAAGUGGGUCGUAGGGAGAGCUUCGUAAGAGAUAGGGAGGGAGCUCUAUUGGCCCGUGCAUGACAUCCAACCCAAUGGCAUCAUGCCCUGGCAUGGUUGCAUGGCCACGGGGAGAAUGGAGCAAGUAGCGUGUGAGGAGUUUAAGAAAUGGGGACAAGGGAUAGUUUAGUUAAUUAAGUCUAUGUUAGUUUCAAGUUUUAUCCUUGUUGCGGUAAAAAAUUAAGGUUGGAUUAACCACCAUGUACAUCUUUAAUUACUUUUAAAUAAGAAAUAUAAUCAAAAUA